rnacentral:rRNA from 1 species
UGCGUAGGCGGUUUGGUAAGUCAGAUGUGAAAUUCCUGGGCUCAACCGAGGAACUGCAUUUGAUACUGCCAGACUAGAGUACUGGAGAGAAGACUGGAAUUUACGGUGUAGCAGUGAAAUGCGUAGAUAUCGUAAGGAAGGCCAGUGGCGAAGGCGAGUCUCUGGACAGUAACUGACGCUGAGGCACGAAGGCUAGGGGAGCAAACG